rnacentral:rRNA from 1 species
AACGAACGCUGGCGGCGUGCUUAACACAUGCAAGUCGUGCGGGAAAAGGGGGGCAACUCCCUGAGUAGAGCGGCGCACGGGUGAGUAACACGUGGGUAACCUACCCUGAAGUUCGGGAUAACCUGUCGAAAGGCGGGCUAAUACCGGGUAAGACCACGAGGGCUGCGGCCCUUGGGGUAAAAGGUGGCCUCUGCUUGCAAGCUACCACUUUGGGAUGGGCCCGCGCGCCAUUAGCUAGUUGGUGGGGUAAUGGCCUACCAAGGCGAAGAUGGCUAGCUGGUCUGAGAGGAUGGCCAGCCACACUGGGACUGAGACACGGCCCAGACUCCUACGGGAGGCAG